UAAAUCAGUUAUGGUUCCUUUGG
rnacentral:piRNA from 2 species